rnacentral:rRNA from 1 species
AGUGAACGCUGGCGGUAGGCCUAACACAUGCAAGUCGAACGGCAGCACAGUAAGAGCUUGCUCUUACGGGUGGCGAGUGGCGGACGGGUGAGGAAUACAUCGGAAUCUACUUUUUCGUGGGGGAUAACGUAGGGAAACUUACGCUAAUACCGCAUACGACCUACGGGUGAAAGCAGCGGAUCUUCGGACCUUGCGCGAUUGAAUGAGCCGAUGUCGGAUUAGCUAGUUGGCGGGGUAAAGGCCCACCAAGGCGACGAUCCGUAGCUGGUCUGAGAGGAUGAUCAGCCACACUGGAACUGAGACACGGUCCAGACUCCUACGGGAGGCAGCAGUGGGGAAUAUUGGACAAUGGGCGCAAGCCUGAUCCAGCCAUACCGCGUGGGUGAAGAAGGCCUUCGGGUUGUAAAGCCCUUUAGUUGGGAAAGAAAAGCAGCAGGUUAAUACCCCGCUGUUCUGACGGUACCCAAAGAAUAAGCACCGGCUAACUUCGUG